UGUGUGAGAAUCCAGUGAUCUUCACCCGAG
rnacentral:piRNA from 1 species